UUUCGGGGUGAGUGGCAGACGGGUGAGUAACGCGUGGGAAUCUACCCUUCUCUACGGGAUAGCUCCGGGAAACUGGAAUUAAUACCGUAUACGUCCUGAGGGAGAAAGAUUUAUCGGGGAAGGAUGAGCCCGCGUUGGAUUAGCUAGUUGGUGGGGUAAAGGCCUACCAAGGCGACGAUCCAUAGCUGGUCUAAGAGGAUGAUCAGCCACAUUGGGACUGAGACACGGCCCAAACUCCUACGGGAGGCAGCAGUGGGGAAUAUUGGACAAUGGGCGCAAGCCUGAUCCAGCCAUGCCGCGUGAGUGAUGAAGGCCCUAGGGUUGUAAAGCUCUUUCAGUGGGGACGAUAAUGACGGUACCCACAGAAGAAGCCCCGGCUAACUUCAUGCCAGCAGCCGCGGUAAUACGAAGGGGGCUAGCGUUGUUCGGAAUUACUGGGCGUAAAGCGCACGUAGGCGGAUAUUUAAGUCAGGGGUGAAAUCCCGGGGCUCAACCCCGGAACUGCCUUUGAUACUGGAUAUCUUGAGUUCGGAA
rnacentral:rRNA from 1 species